rnacentral:rRNA from 1 species
UACGAAGGGUGCAAGCGUUACUCGGAAUUACUGGGCGUAAAGCGUGCGUAGGUGGUUCGUUAAGUCUGUCGUGAAAGCCCCGGGCUCAACCUGGGAAUGGCGAUGGAUACUGGCGAGCUAGAGUGCGGUAGAGGAGAGUGGAAUUCCCGGUGUAGCAGUGAAAUGCGUAGAGAUCGGGAGGAACAUCAGUGGCGAAGGCGGUCUGCUGGGCCGUUGCUGACGCUGAGGCGCGACAGCGUGGGGAGCAAACAGG